AAUGGAGCAAUCCUAGUAGAGCGGCGCACGGGUGCGUAACACGUGGGUAAUCUGCCUAGAAGACUGGAAUAACCUGCCGAAAGGCUGGCUAAUACCAGAUAAGCCUACGAAGACUUCGGUCUUUGAAGGAAAAGGUGGCCUCUGUACAUCAAGCUAUCACUUCUAGAUGAGCCCGCGGCCCAUCAGCUAGUUGGCGGGGUAAUGGCCCACCAAGGCAACGACGGGUAGCUGGUCUGAGAGGACGAUCAGCCACACUGGAACUGAGACACGGUCCAGACUCCUACGGGAGGCAGCAGUGGGGAAUUUUGCACAAUGGGCGAAAGCCUGAUGCAGCAACGCCGCGUGUGUGAUGAAGGUCUUCGGAUCGUAAAGCACUUUCGACCGGGACGAACACCCCUUGGCUAACAUCCAAGGGCCUGACGGUACCGGGAGAAGAAGCACCGGCUAACUCUGUGCCAGCAGCCGCGGUAAUACAGAGGGUGCAAGCGUUGUUCGGAAUUAUUGGGCGUAAAGCGCGUGUAGGCGGCUUUGCAAGUCGGGUGUGAAAGCCCUCAGCUCAACUGAGGAAGUGCGCCCGAAACUGCAUGGCUUGAGUACCGGAGAGGAUGGUGGAAUUCCCCAAGUAGAGGUGAAAUUCGUAGAUAUGGGGAGGAACACCGGUGGCGAAGGCGACCAUCUGGACGGAUACUGACGCUGAGACGCGAAAGCGUGGGUAGCAAACAGGAUUAGAUACCCUGGUAGUCCACGCCGUAAACGAUGAGAACUAGGUGUUGUGGGUGUUGACCCCCGCGGUGCCGUAGCUAACGCAUUAAGUUCUCCGCCUGGGAAGUACGGCCGCAAGGCUAAAACUCAAAGGAAUUGACGGGGGCCCGCACAAGCGGUGGAGCAUGUGGUUUUAU
rnacentral:rRNA from 1 species